AUUGAACGCUGGCGGCAUGCUUUACACAUGCAAGUCGAACGGUAACAGGUUAAGCUGACGAGUGGCGAACGGGUGAGUAAUGCAUCGGAACGUGCCCGGUCGUGGGGGAUAACGCAGCGAAAGCUGCGCUAAUACCGCAUACGAUCUGAGGAUGAAAGCGGGGGACCGUAAGGCCUCGCGCGAUCGGAGCGGCCGAUGUCAGAUUAGGUAGUUGGUGGGGUAAAGGCCCACCAAGCCGACAAUCUGUAGCUGGUCUGAGAGGACGACCAGCCACACUGGGACUGAGACACGGCCCAGACUCCUACGGGAGGCAGCAGUGGGGAAUUUUGGACAAUGGGCGCAAGCCUGAUCCAGCAAUGCCGCGUGCAGGAAGAAGGGCCUUCGGGUUGUAAACUGCUUUGUACGGAGCGAAAGGACUCUCUCUAAUACGAGGGGACGUAAUAGACGGUACCGUAAGAAUAAG
rnacentral:rRNA from 1 species